UACGAAGGGGGCUAGCGUUGCUCGGAAUCACUGGGCGUAAAGCGCACGUAGGCGGAUCUUUAAGUCAGGGGUGAAAUCCCAAGGCUCAACCUUGGAACUGCCUUUGAUACUGGGGAUCUCGAGUCCGGAAGAGGUGAGUGGAACUGCGAGUGUAGAGGUGAAAUUCGUAGAUAUUCGCAAGAACACCAGUGGCGAAGGCGGCUCACUGGCCCGUAACUGACGCUGAGGCACGAAAGCGUGGGGAGCAAACAGG
rnacentral:rRNA from 1 species